rnacentral:rRNA from 1 species
UACAGGAGGGGCAAGCGUUAUUCGGAAUUAUUGGGCGUAAAGGGCGCGUAGGCGGCUUUCAAGUGACGGGUGAAAUCCCUCGGCGUUAACCGAGGAACUGCCUGUCAGACUGGAAGGCUUGAGACCGGGAGAGGUGAGUGGAAUUCCCAGUGUAGCGGUGAAAUGCGUAGAUAUCAGGAGGAACACCAAUUGCGAAGGCAGCUCGCUGGGACGUGACUGACGCUGAGACGGCGAAAGCGUGGGGGAGCAAACAGG